CAUGUACUCCCUCCGUUCGGAAUUACUUGUUGCGAAAAUGGAUGUAUCUAGAACUAAAAUACGUCUAGAUACAUCCAUUUCUGCGACGAGUAAUUCCGAACGGAGGAAGUAUAAG
rnacentral:pre_miRNA from 1 species